UGUGAGCUCGAUGAGUAGGGCGGGACACGUGGUAUCCUGUCUGAAUAUGGGGGGACCAUCCUCCAAGGCUAAAUACUCCUGACUGACCGAUAGUGAACCAGUACCGUGAGGGAAAGGCGAAAAGAACCCCGGCGAGGGGAGUGAAAAAGAACCUGAAACCGUGUACGUACAAGCAGUGGGAGCACCCUUUUGGGUGUGACUGCGUACCUUUUGUAUAAUGGGUCAGCGACUUAUAUUCUGUAGCAAGGUUAACCGAAUAGGGGAGCCGGAGGGAAACCGAGUCUUAAUUGGGCGUUAAGUUGCAGGGUAUAGACCCGAAACCCGGUGAUCUAGCCAUGGGCAGGUUGAAGGUUGGGUAACACUAACUGGAGGACCGAACCGACUAAUGUUGAAAAAUUAGCGGAUGACCUGUGGCUGGGGGUGAAAGGCCAAUCAAACCGGGAGAUAGCUGGUUCUCCCCGAAAGCUAUUUAGGUAGCGCCUCGUGAAUUCAUCUCCGGGGGUAGAGCACUGUUUCGGCUAGGGGGCCAUCCCGGCUUACCAACCCGAUGCAAACUGCGAAUACCGGAGAAUGUUAUCACGGGAGACACACGGCGGGUGCUAACGUCCGUCGUGAAGAGGGAAACAACCCAGACCGCCAGCUAAGGUCCCAAAGUCAUGGUUAAGUGGGAAACGAUGUGGGAAGGCCCAGACAGCCAGGAUGUUGGCUUAGAAGCAGCCAUCAUUUAAAGAAAGCGUAAUAGCUCACUGGUCGAGUCGGCCUGCGCGGAAGAUGUAACGGGGCUAAACCAUGCACCGAAGCUGCGGCAGCGACGCUCAGGCGU
rnacentral:rRNA from 1 species